AGCGUACACGGUGGAUGCCCUGGCAGUCAGAGGCGAUGAAGGACGUGCUAAUCUGCGAUAAGCGUCGGUAAGGUGAUAUGAACCGUUAUAACCGGCGAUUUCCGAAUGGGGAAACCCAGUGUGAUUCGUCACACUAUCAUUAACUGAAUCCAUAGGUUAAUGAGGCGAACCGGGGGAACUGAAACAUCUAAGUACCCCGAGGAAAAGAAAUCAACCGAGAUUCCCCCAGUAGCGGCGAGCGAACGGGGAGCAGCCCAGAGCCUGAAUCAGUGUGUGUGUUAGUGGAAGCGUCUGGAAAGGCGCGCGAUACAGGGUGACAGCCCCGUACACAAAAAUGCACAUGCUGUGAGCUCGAUGAGUAGGGCGGGACACGUGGUAUCCUGUCUGAAUAUGGGGGGACCAUCCUCCAAGGCUAAAUACUCCUGACUGACCGAUAGUGAACCAGUACCGUGAGGGAAAGGCGAAAAGAACCCCGGCGAGGGGAGUGAAAAAGAACCUGAAACCGUGUACGUACAAGCAGUGGGAGCACGCUUAGGCGUGUGACUGCGUACCUUUUGUAUAAUGGGUCAGCGACUUAUAUUCUGUAGCAAGGUUAACCGAAUAGGGGAGCCGAAGGGAAACCGAGUCUUAACUGGGCGUUAAGUUGCAGGGUAUAGACCCGAAACCCGGUGAUCUAGCCAUGGGCAGGUUGAAGGUUGGGUAACACUAACUGGAGGACCGAACCGACUAAUGUUGAAAAAUUAGCGGAUGACUUGUGGCUGGGGGUGAAAGGCCAAUCAAACCGGGAGAUAGCUGGUUCUCCCCGAAAGCUAUUUAGGUAGCGCCUCGUGAAUUCAUCUCCGGGGGUAGAGCACUGUUUCGGCAAGGGGGUCAUCCCGACUUACCAACCCGAUGCAAACUACGAAUACCGGAGAAUGUUAUCACGGGAGACACACGGCGGGUGCUAACGUCCGUCGUGAAGAGGGAAACAACCCAGACCGCCAGCUAAGGUCCCAAAGUCAUGGUUAAGUGGGAAACGAUGUGGGAAGGCCCAGACAGCCAGGAUGUUGGCUUAGAAGCAGCCAUCAUUUAAAGAAAGCGUAAUAGCUCACUGGUCGAGUCGGCCUGCGCGGAAGAUGUAACGGGGCUAAACCAUGCACCGAAGCUGCGGCAGCGACGCUGAUGCGUUGUUGGGUAGGGGAGCGUUCUGUAAGCCUGCGAAGGUGUGCUGUGAGGCAUGCUGGAGGUAUCAGAAGUGCGAAUGCUGACAUAAGUAACGAUAAAGCGGGUGAAAGCCCGCUCGCCGGAAGACCAAGGGUUCCUGUCCAACGUUAAUCGGGGCAGGGUGAGUCGACCCCUAAGGCGAGGCCGAAAGGCGUAGUCGAUGGGAAACAGGUUAAUAUUCCUGUACUUGGUGUUACUGCGAAGGGGGGACGGAGAAGGCUAUGUUGGCCGGGCGACGGUUGUCCCGGUUUAAGCGUGUAGGCUGGUUUUCCAGGCAAAUCCGGAAAAUCAAGGCUGAGGCGUGAUGACGAGGCACUACGGUGCUGAAGCAACAAAUGCCCUGCUUCCAGGAAAAGCCUCUAAGCAUCAGGUAACAUCAAAUCGUACCCCAAACCGACACAGGUGGUCAGGUAGAGAAUACCAAGGCGCUUGAGAGAACUCGGGUGAAGGAACUAGGCAAAAUGGUGCCGUAACUUCGGGAGAAGGCACGCUGAUAUGUAGGUGAAGUCCCUCGCGGAUGGAGCUGAAAUCAGUCGAAGAUACCAGCUGGCUGCAACUGUUUAUUAAAAACACAGCACUGUGCAAACACGAAAGUGGACGUAUACGGUGUGACGCCUGCCCGGUGCCGGAAGGUUAAUUGAUGGGGUUAGCGCAAGCGAAGCUCUUGAUCGAAGCCCCGGUAAACGGCGGCCGUAACUAUAACGGUCCUAAGGUAGCGAAAUUCCUUGUCGGGUAAGUUCCGACCUGCACGAAUGGCGUAAUGAUGGCCAGGCUGUCUCCACCCGAGACUCAGUGAAAUUGAACUCGCUGUGAAGAUGCAGUGUACCCGCGGCAAGACGGAAAGACCCCGUGAACCUUUACUAUAGCUUGACACUGAACAUUGAGCCUUGAUGUGUAGGAUAGGUGGGAGGCUUUGAAGUGUGGACGCCAGUCUGCAUGGAGCCGACCUUGAAAUACCACCCUUUAAUGUUUGAUGUUCUAACGUGGACCCGUAAUCCGGGUUGCGGACAGUGUCUGGUGGGUAGUUUGACUGGGGCGGUCUCCUCCUAAAGAGUAACGGAGGAGCACGAAGGUUGGCUAAUCCUGGUCGGACAU
rnacentral:rRNA from 1 species